CAUUUUUUAUGAUCCCCGACUUUGCGUAUUAGCUCUAAGUUCUUUUGGUCCGUUUUUAUGAUCCCCGACUUUGCGAAUUAGCUCUAAGUUCUUUCGGUCCGUUUUUAUGAUCCCCAUCAUUGCGUAUUCGCUCUAAGUUCUUUCGGUCCGUUUUUAUGAUCCCUGACUUUGCGUAUUAGCUCUAAGUUCUUUCGGUCUGUUUUCAUGAUCCCCGACUUUGCGUAUUAGCUCUAAAUUCUUUCGGUCCGUUUUUCUGAUCCCCGACUUUGCGUAUUAGCUCUAAGUUCUUUCGGGCCGUUUUUACGAUCCCCGACUUUGCGUAUUAGCUCUAAGUUCUUUCGGUCUGUUUUCAUGAUCCCCGACUUUGCGUAUUAGCUCUAAGUUCUUUCGGUCCGUUUUUAUGAUCCACGACUUUACGUAUUAGCUGUAAGUUCUUUCGUUCCGUUUUUAUGAUCCCCGACUUUGCGUAUUAGCU
rnacentral:lncRNA from 1 species